rnacentral:rRNA from 1 species
UCAUCACAUCCUGGGGCUGAAGUAGGUCCCAAGGGUAUGGCUGUUCGCCAUUUAAAGUGGUACGCGAGCUGGGUUUAGAACGUCGUGAGACAGUUCGGUCCCUAUCUGCCGUGGGCGCUGGAGAACUGAGGGGGGCUGCUCCUAGUACGAGAGGACCGGAGUGGACGCAUCACUGGUGUUCGGGUUGUCAUGCCAAUGGCACUGCCCGGUAGCUAAAUGCGGAAGAGAUAAGUGCUGAAAGCAUCUAAGCACGAAACUUGCCCCGAGAUGAGUUCUCCCUGACUCCUUGAGAGUCCUGAAGGAACGUUGAAGACGACGACGUUGAUAGGCCGGGUGUGUAAGCGCAGCGAUGCGUUGAGCUAACCGGUACUAAUGAACCGUGAGGCUUAACCUU